rnacentral:rRNA from 1 species
UACAGAGGGUGCGAGCGUUAAUCGGAAUUACUGGGCGUAAAGCGUGCGUAGACGGUUAUUUAAGUCGGAUGUGAAAGCCCCGGGCUCAACCUGGGAAUUGCAUUCGAGACUGAAUAGCUAGGGUACGGUAGAGGGAAGCGGAAUUUCCGGUGUAGCGGUGAAAUGCGUAGAUAUUGGAAGGAACAUCAGUGGCGAAAGCGGCUUCCUGGACCAGUACCGACGUUCAGGCACGAAAGCGUGGGGAGCAAACAGG